rnacentral:rRNA from 1 species
AUACGAAGGGUGCAAGCGUUAAUCGGAAUUACUGGGCGUAAAGCGCGCGUAGGUGGUUUUGUAAGUUGGAGGUGAAAGCCCCGGGCUCAACCUGGGAAUUGCCUCCAAAACUGCAUGACUAGAGUACGGUAGAGGGUAGUGGAAUUUCCUGUGUAGCGGUGAAAUGCGUAGAUAUAGGAAGGAACACCAGUGGCGAAGGCGACUACCUGGACGGAUACUGACACGGAGGUGCGAAAGCGUGGGGAGCAAACAGGAUUAGAUACCCUGGUAGUCCACGCCGUAAACGAUGUCAACUAGCCGUUGGGAUCCUUGAGAUCUUAGUGGCGCAGCUAACGCAUUAAGUUGACCGCCUGGGGAGUACGGCCGCAAGGUUAAAACUCAAAGGAAUUGGCGGGG